rnacentral:rRNA from 1 species
UUCCGGUUGAUCCUGCCGGACCCGACUGCUAUCAGAGUGGGGCUAAGCCAUGCGAGUCAACAUAGCAAUAUGUGGCAUACGGCUCAGUAACACGUAGUCAACAUGCCCAGGGGACGUGGAUAACCUCGGGAAACUGAGGAUAAACCGCGAUAGGUCAUCACUUCUGGAAUGGGUAAUGACUUAAAUCUAUAUGGCCCCUGGAUUGGACUGCGGCCGAUCAGGCUGUUGGUGAGGUAAUGGCCCACCAAACCUGUAACCGGUACGGGCUCUGAGAGGAGGAGCCCGGAGAUGGGCACUGAGACAAGGGCCCAGGCCCUAUGGGGCGCAGCAGGCGCGAAACCUCUGCAAUAGGCGAAAGCUUGACAGGGUUACUCUGAGUGAUUUCCGUUAAGGAGAUCUUUUGGCACCUCUAAAAAUGGUGCAGAAUAAGGGGUGGGCAAGUCUGGUGUCAGCCGCCGCGGUAAUACCAGCACCCCGAGUGGUCGGGACGUUUAUUGGGCCUAAAGCAUCCGUAGCCGGUUCUACAAGUCUUCCGUUAAAUCCACCUGCUUAACAGAUGGGCUGCGGAAGAUACUAUAGAGCUAGGAGGCGGGAGAGGCAAGCGGUACUCGAUGGGUAGGGGUAAAAUCCGUUGAUCCAUUGAAGACCACCAGUGGCGAAGGCGGCUUGCCAGAACGCGCUCGACGGUGAGGGAUGAAAGCUGGGGGAGCAAACCGGAUUAGAUACCCGGGUAGUCCCAGCUGUAAACGAUGCAGACUCGGUGAUGAGUUGGCUUAUUGCUAACUCAGUGCCGCAGGGAAGCCGUUAAGUUUGCCGCCUGGGGAGUACGGUCGCAAGACUGAAACUUAAAGGAAUUGGCGGGGAGCA